GCCACCUUAGCUCAUUUGGUGUAGAGCGACGCUCUUGUAAAGCGUAGGCGGUCGGUUCGAAACCGACAGGUGGCU
rnacentral:tRNA from 1 species